rnacentral:lncRNA from 1 species
AAAAAUGGCACCCUAACGAAAAGUUUCUAAGUGUGCAGGGUUCUAAAGAAAGAAGUAAUAAAUCUGAUGAUGUCAUCAGAUGCACAACAAGAUCAGAUACAAAUUAUCAAGUAUCAGAAGCAUCUAAAGUAGAAUCUCGUUCAAGAAAGUCUAGAAGCUCUGACUCUGGACAAAACUGCAAGUAUCAGAAGCAUCUGAACAUGAAGUAAAGUCUAGAAGCUCUGACUCUGAACAACGCCCUCUGAAGAAUCUAUUUGGAUCAACAUCAGAAGCAAGAUUCCAAGUUUCUCCAGUUACACAAAUACUCUGAUUAUGGAUUUGCUAAUCAUGAAAGAGUAACGUUGAAGACAAGUAAAGAUUUUCAAUUGGAUUUCCUGAUUAAGAAAGAGACGUUAAUCUCCGCUUCCAAGAGAAAAGAUACUACUUGUGGUAAGUAGUCACUUCAAAGAUGAAAAGUUAAACUGCAGAAGCUAUUUAAGUGAUGGAGUAAACUCAGUUUAAUAUCCACCAGAUUCAACUCUACUCCAACUCAUAUAUAAAUAGAGAUGCAAUCAACAUUCAGUAACAAGAAAUCAACUAGCCAAAACUAUACUGAAUUAUUUCACGCUCAAGAAAAU